rnacentral:lncRNA from 1 species
GUUUGGUGAUCUAUCGUGUUGCUUAAUCAUUCAAUGUUUGGUUUUUCGUGGCAGUAUAUUGGUAUCUGUCAAUAAACUUGUAUAUGCAAUGCAAGUGCUACAUUGUUAGCCAGGUUCCUAGAAUUUGAGAAUUGUAUGAAGUGGUUUGUUAUCUUUAUUAUUUGUGGUAAAGAGUUGAUGUCCUUUUGUGUAGUUUUUGUUCCAUUCUGUGUUUGACAUUUCCAAUGCUGCUUAUGUGGGAGAAUCAAUCUAUCUAUCUUCUAUACCUACCUAUUCUAAUUCUAGACUUUCAAGAAAUUCCCACGUUAAUUAGAUUUUACGAGCCGUUAAUCUGGUGGGACCGAGUUAUUACGGUAGAGAUCCACCCAGAUAAGAUUUUUUCUCUCUCUCAAAAUUCCCUUAAUUCUACCUGAAAAAAGAAUUAAAAAUUCCUAUAAACGUGUAUUUUUUUAGUGUACGUUCCUAUUGUAUUAGUAUCUUACGAGCAUGGGACUCUCCUUUCUUUCUUGCAGCACGGGACUCAGCUGUCCUCUUUCUCCCCUUUAUACCUAGAAAAACCAAAUCAUCACGGUUGCUAAAAAAAGAAGCCCUCCUCCUGUAUCCCUAACCUUCUGGUGCCUACCAUCGCAGCGCCACUUCUCAUGGAUCGCGCCGCUGCUUCCCAUUGAUCGCGCCGCCGCUCUGCUCACCACCAUCGCCGUCACUUCGUCACUCCCUAUCCCAGCCGUCGUCGCUGCCCACCGCAUCCAGCCGCUGUCACAUCUCACGGCCUCCACCACCACCACAAAACAUCUCUCUCCUUAGUCCUCUCUCUUGGACCAGCACGCUGCGGCGGAUGCUUCUGGUCCCGUGAUGGCGACUCAGCUGGUCGAGGGAACGCGGCCAGGCGGACUGUGUCCCGUUCGGUGAUCUUCCCCACUUUCUGCUCCUCCUCUCCAAUCAAAAGUCACGUCACGUUUCCACCUCUCAGACUCUCCUCCCGUUCUCACCUCGCCCAAAGAAAAAUACGCCUCAGCUCACAGGGUGCCCCUGCAGCAGCAAUACGAGGGCUAGAUGGGAUCCAGUGGCAGGCUGGAAGCACAACAUCAGGACCCUCAAGUCCUAAUUGGUAUGUCCCUGUAAUCAAGGUUAGUGUGUCGCUUCUGCUGUUCACAAAGUUUAAUGAGAAUCUAAAUUAAUCAGGAUUUUAUUCGAUCAAUCUAUUUCGGAUUGUCUUAUUAACAUACAUGGGCACUUCGGAAGGGCUCUUUGUCGCCCCUUUAUUCAAUGGCAAGAACUACCACAAUCAACCAGCAGUUUGCUUGCAACGAACCAUCCUCUUUUUACGAAAGUCUGCUGUCAGUUUGAUGGAGUAGAACCAUGUGAUUUACCGGAAUCAUAAUUGAAAGAUACCCUUUAUUACUUUUUCAUAUAGUCAGGUUAUGGAUGACAAGCAGCUGAGAGCUGGUGUCAAAACAUUAGUAUUGAGAACGGUUAUCCAUUAGUUAGUACUUAGAAUUAUUGUGUUCUGAACAAAAGGCUAUUCCACACACAAGUGAAAUAUUAACGGUUUUGAAUUGGUGGGAAGCUCUAUGGAUCUAUUUUAGGUUUUGAGCAGCAAACGUACUGUAUUUAUACAAAAAGUAAAUUCGCUAGAUUUCUGUGUAACAUGCAUGCAGAUUUUCGCAUAUUUUUCAGGUGGUCCGUGGCUUCUGAUGGAGUUGCGUUGAAACUAUAGACUAAGAGUUCUUCAACCUAUCAGGUGUUUAUUUGAGUGCCGUAACAGUGGCAUAAGAUCCAAUGGAUUGGUUAGUAAUUUAAUCAUCCUCAAUUACCUCAGUUUUGCUAAUUUGGAUACUGUAGCUUUGAUUAAAAUUUGUUCACGUUGUUCAUCUUAUUUUGAGGCAUGUACAUGUGCCUCAGGUACAGGUUUUUUAUCGCCCAAAUAUACAAAUCAAUUACUCUUCUGGCUGAGUCCUUCCCAUGAAAGGCUGUUUCAUCGUUUGAUCAUACAGUCCUUGCAUUUACAUUUUUGGAUCACACAGUAUCAACUGGCCGCCCAAGAAACCAUUAGCUAUUAAGAUGUUGCUAAGAUAGCAAGUUAAUGGGAGAAAGAUCUGUCUGGCCAGUCCGCGUGCCCCGUAAACAGCACGAGGACCAGAUCGACCUUAUUCUAUGGUAUUAAUAUUUUCAUUUGUCAGUAUUUUAUGCAUUUGAAUUGCCCUAUUCUAAGGUAGUAACAUUUUCGUUUGAUGCAUCCUAUGAAAUAAGGGUCCAAUGGUUUGCAAAGUAAAGAGACCUCCGUACCUGUUUGUUUGCAACAAUAACUGAUAAGUACAAAUGCAACAGGAUAUUAUUUAGGGUUGGAAACUACAGGUGCAGUUCAUAAUUAUUUUUCGUGAUAAAAAUACGUCCAUGUUAGAAAUUUAUUCUGUUUCAGAGAUUUGUCAGCCUAUAGGUCUUCUGCACAAUUUGUACUAUGCAAUUCUUCAACACGACAGUCUUUGCUUCCUUCAAGCUGAUUGAAGUAUUUGCCUUUUUUGGCCGGGUGAUUGAAGUAUUUGCCUUAACUGCAACAAAUUCAUUCAGGAUUGUUUCCAGUCAUAUAUCUCCUCCCUGCCUCAUUACACAUGUUCCUUGCUAGCUAAGGCGAAAGAAUCCUCAACAUGCCGACCGCCUUCCUUUUGGUUGUUGUUGAUCGUCAUUAUUUUGGGGUUGCGAUGCAGCCACGGAAACAUUGGAAAAACCAACUAGCACGAAGGAAAAAACAAGCAAGUAAUUUCAUGGUUUGCUCAUUUAUAUGUCAUGUACGUAGUUCAUAUUGCUUACAUACUACAUGCCAAAAAAGAGCUGAUCAAAGUUUAAUACCUCUUUUUUCCAAGUUACGCAUUCAAAAAUAUUAACCCUUUUGUGUUCCUUUAAUUUGUAUUAAGUUAUGUUUCCUUUAUUCCUACAAUUUAGGGUCUAAGGAAAUGGCGUCUAAUAUGCACUUAAUGCAAUUAUCAGUUAGAUUCUAUUAGCGUUCCUGGAAAGUGAAGGUCGGCGUAAAUAGGCUAUGAGAUUCUAUUAGCGCCAACAACAACUAAGUUAUUUGACAUGAUACUACUUGAAAAAAGAGGUCAGCUUUUUGGUUAAAAUAUAUGUAUAUUCAUCAUAAAUAGGCUACUAUGGUAUAUAAAAGUUAUUCCAAAUUUUGAGGCUUCUUCAUAAAUCACUAAACUGUUUCAGGGCGCUAUGAUACAUGUCGCGGUAAUGACAUAUGGUGUUCAGGAAUUUUUCUAUCAUACCCAUCAAUACUUCUGUACAUGCAAAAUCGGUAUUGUUUGCAAGACGAUUCAUUAUAUCUAGGGCUACUAUGAUUAUACAAGUUAAUCCAAAAUUUUCAGGCUUCUUCCUAAUACACAAUAAUUCUUUGAGGGCACUGUGAUACAUGGCAAGGCAAUGUAGCAUAUGGUUAACAAGUUCACGAAUUUUUCUAUCAUGCCCAUCAAUACUUCUGUGUAUGCAAAAUAGGUAUGCUCACAAGAUGUUGUAGAGAAAAUAGAGAUGGGAGCCCACUCGCAAGGUACAAUUCAAAGCAUAUGUUCUAUUACAAAACAUCACUGCAAAAAACUGAAAUUAUAUAUGAAUCAGAAUAUAUAUUCAGUUUUUAUAUAUUCCUAUUGUUAUAUUUUAUUGUGUGCUAAUUUAAUCUAUAAUGGAUAUGAAAAGAACUAUACUAUGAAGCAUCAAUUAAAUCAAUUAACACAUCAGGGCAGUUGUACUACAUAAUGGCAAAAGCAUCAAAAACAACAAAAACAAGGCAAUCACUUCUAUGGUGCCAAGUGUGAAAAGUAAUCUGAGCAGAUCCAAUGGUAAUUUGAUAAUAUAUUAUUAUAUGGGAAGUAAUUUGUACUGUACUUGCCCAUAUAUUAUAUGCCACAUUAUUUGUACGUACAAACUUAAGUUAGAGAUAUGCUGAGUGCAACAACUUGCACCAUGUUUGAGACAGAAGCAAAAAGUUAAGAAAUCUCCAAGAUACUUGAUAUAUAUGGAUUGUGCAACAAUGAGAAUGCGAAAGAAAUCCAAAAUGUACAUGGAUUGAGAUUGGUAUUUCAGUAUCGAUUGGAUGACUAUAACCUCAAGAUUGGUUACAAAGAUUACACUAUGUAUAGAAUCUUUUUCAUGGAUCCUAAAAAAAAAUCUGUCAGUAAUAUAUAUGAAGUUGUUGAGCAGGUGCCUUUCUUAUUAUGAUGCUCUAUAUUUUUUACUCUCUAUUACAAGCGGAAUAUAUCGAGAUAUCUUAACUUUUAUGGUGACAAACACAUAUUCCGCAUGUUACCGAUGAUAUAUUAAUUGUGAAGGACGCCAAACUGACUAGGGCCAGGAAUACAUGUUGUAUUGUACAAUUGAGGAAGAAUUAGAAACUAAGAGUAGUGAAGACAAAGAUGAAUUCAAACUCAAGCAACCAUCUAAUUAAGAGAAAGCAUAAAAUUACUCACAGAUGUGUCCGCAAUGAUAAAAUUCCAGAUCACGAUAUUUAUGUUGGACAUUAAGAAAAUGAAGGAAGGAAGAAGUAUUCAAAGAUCAAUGAAAGGAGUACUGACAGAAGGUAGAAAGGAAAAGGUCAUCUAUUUUGAACCCUAUAAAGCCCCAUCAAUGCACCUGUAUUAUUUAAUGACAGCAAAAAUAUAAUGCAUAAAAAAGGAGGCGACCAAAAACUAUCCAAAUGGGCAAAUACAAGGAAAAUAGGAAUGUGUUGCUACAUCCUUAGAGCAGCCAAAAAGGAAGCUACAUGAAAACAAAAGAGUUACUGUCAAUUCUUAAUAUCCUAGCCCGUGCGAAUGCACGGGUUGACGACUACUGUUCCUAAUUACCAUGCUUACCAAUGACUCAGGAGGAGCUUUUGUUAUGCUUACCAAUUACCAAAUGCCUAGUUUUUUCAAGAAAGAAGGCUCGAAAUGAGCUUGGCUGUAAAUUAGUAAAGCCAUAAUCAUUUAAGGGUACAAGGAAUUGCUCACACCGUACAACCUCACUCUAGUUUGAGAUAACAAGCGCAAAAAAACACACGCCUGCAGCACCCCCGGAACAGGACCAGUGGGUACAAGAAAAACUUGUUUGGUAGUGUACACGAGGGCCUGUCUCCACAUGUCACGAAACUUAAAAGCAGCCCAGGGCCUGGCUCGCUACGAACGCUUGAACAGAUUGUUUCCAGCGAGCCAUGUUGAGUCGUGCGCAAAAGGAGGGCAUGAUGUACGCGGCGGUGGUGGGUAAAUGGGCGUGGAGAUGGCGGGAGACGAAAAUCUGCCGGCGCAGGAUGGUGUCCAAAUUUCUCGCUCACCUCUAGCGCUAGAAUAAAUCCAACCUCAGUUCUUGCAGUAGUGGUGGCGAGUACAUUUUCCGACAGCAGGACCUUCUUCUUCCAUUUCUCCGACUCUGUCUCGUCCUCCUCGUCUCCGCCAUGGGUGGGUCGUCGGCUCCAAAGGGGGUAAUUAGCAUACAACCUCCUAUGCUAGGUCAUUAGAUACGGUGUAGGAUCAAUUUCUCCAUUGCUUACCACACCAUCGUUGUUGCCAUUAGGUCGUGUUAUGGAUGAACAGAUGAAGCUGAUUGUUCACACAACAACACUCAUAGUUGUGAUUUAGGUCUGGGCCAUGUUGGUCCACAAGAGAGUUGUUCGUUGGAGUGAUAAGUUUGGCAUCCGUUAUGAUCCAACGGUAAUCCAAGAUAGGUAGAGAUGGCGAAUUUGAACUAAAUCUACAAAUCCAAUGACAUAGAGGCUAUGAACAUGCUUUGGAAACGAAGAGCACCUUUUUCCAAGCUUGUGGAGACGUUUAGGACUAGGGUGCUGCUAGAAGAUAGCAUUCACACCUCUGUGGAAGAGCAAAUUGCCAUGUUCCUUCAUGUUGUGGGUCAUAAUCAGAGGUUCAAAGUGAUUCACAAAUUGUUUAGAGAUCCAUGGAAACCAUUUUCCUGGUAUUUCAAGCAAGUCAUGUAUGCUAUUGAGGAGCUCAGAGGAGAGAUGAUAAAGGCACCAACUGGGCAAACUCCAAACAAGAUACACACAAGCCAAGAUGGUAUUCGUAUUUCAAGGUGAGCACUACCCAUAGUUCAUGCCAUAACAUGCUUGUAUUGUUGUCAUACAGCUGUGACAAUAUGUUGUUGUGCCAUCACAGGAUUAUAUCGGCACAAUAAAUGGUACUCAUUGAUGUCUGCUAGAACUACGCCGGUAUUUCCCCAAAGAGGAAGGGAUGAUGCAGUAUAGCGACGGUAGGUAUUUCCCUAAGUGAUGAGACCAAGGUUAUCGAACCAGUAGGAGAACCUCCUCACACCACGUAAACAGCACCUGCACACAAAUAACAAAUACUCGCAACCCGACGUGUUAAAGGGUUGUCAAUCCCUUUCGGGUACGUCGCCUCAAGAUAGGCAAAUAACGUAAGGUAAAAGUGGUAGAUAGGAUAAAUAGAUCGCGGAACAAAUAAAUUGCAGCAAGGUACUUUUGUAUAUUUGGUUUAAUAGAUCUAAAAAUAAAUGCAAGGGAAAAUAGAUCACAAAAGCAAAUAUGAUGAAAAGAGACCCCGGGGGCCAUAGGUUUCACUAGUGGCUUCUCUCGAGAAAAAUAGCAAACAAUGGGAAAACAAUUAUUGUUGGGCAAUUGAUAGAACUUCAAAUAAUCAUGACGAUAUCCAGACAAUGAUCAUUACAUAGGCAUCACGUCCAAGAUUAGUAGACCGACUCCUGCCUGCAUCUACUACUAUUACUCCACACAUCGACCGCUAUCCAGCAUGCAUCCAGUGUAUUAAGUUCAUGAGAAAACGGAGUAAUGCAAUAAGAACGAUGACAUGAUGUAGACGAGAUACUUUAUCUAUUGCGGAGAUAUAGAUCUCAUCUUGUUAUCCUUAGUAGCAACGAUACAUACAUGUCGAUUCCCCUUCUGUCACUGGGAUCAAGCACCGUAAGAUCGAACCCACUACAAAUCACCUCUUCCCAUUGCAAGAUAAAUAGAUCAAGUUGGCCAAACAAAACCCAAAUAUCAGAGAAGAAAUACGAGUCUAUAAGCAAUCAUGCAUAUAAGAGAUCAAAGAAGACUCAAAUAAUUUUCAUGGAUAAAAACAUGGAUCUGGUCAUAAACUCAAAGUUCAUCGGAUCCCAAUAAACACACCGCAAAAAGACUUACAUCAUAUGGAUCUCCAAGAGACCAUUGUAUUAAUAAUCAAGAGAGAGAGAGAGAGAGAGAGAGAGAGAGGAAGUCAUCUAGCUACUAACUACGGACCCAUAGGUCUACAAAGAAAUACUCACGCAUCAUCGAAGAGGCACCAAUGAAAGUGGUGAACCCCUCCAUGACGGUGUCUAGAUUGGAUCUGGUGGUUCUGGACUCUGCGGCAGCUGGAAUUGAUUUUCGUCGACUCCCCUAGGGCUUCUGGAAUAUUGGGGUAUUUAUAGAGCAAAGAGGCGGUUCAGGGGGCACCCGAGGUGGGCACAACCCACCAGGGCGCCCCUGGGCCUCCAGGCGCGCCCUGGUGGGUGCUUCCCCCCUCAAGCCACCCCCACAGGUGCUUCCUUGGCCCACUGGAUGUCUUCUGGCCAAAAAAAUCCUCCAGGAGUUUCGUUGCGUUUGGACUCCGUUUGAUAUUGAUUUCCUGCAAUAUAAAAAACAUGCAGAAAACAACAAUUGGCACUGGGCACCAUGUCAAUAGGUUAGUACCAAAAAAUAAUAUAAAAUGACUAUAAAAUGAUUGUAAAACAUCCAAGAAUGAUAAUAUAACAACAUGGAACAAUAAAAAAUUAUAGAUACGUUGGAGACGUAUCACUCAUAUGACUGAUAGAGUCCUGAGGUCACGGGCUGCAGCAUACAUGAAAGUACUACACAAGCCAGAAUGUGUUUGUUGUUGUUGACUUCGACCUGAAGUUCACAUAUGUUUGCUAUCUAGGAAGGAUCAGCACAUGAUGCCAACAUUCUUGCUGAUAGCAUGGAUCGAUAUGAUGGCACUGAUGGUAAGUUCUCCCUAGGAGCCUCUGGAUAUGCAUGUCGGCUUGGUGUACUCCCACCCUUCAAGAAAACAAGGUACCAUUUGAAUGAGUUCUCUUAUAGGAACUAUCAUAGGACUGCACAUGAGUUGUUCAAUCUCAGACACUCUAAGCCUUAGAGUUAUGGUGGAGUGGGCAUUUGGAGCUCUGGAGAACAUAUUUAAGAUUCUGGAUCCGAAGCGAUUCCACCCUUUCCCACGCAGAUUUGGCUUGUUCUCGCACAUUGCAUUCUCCAUAAUUGGAUCCUACAACGCGUUUGUGAUGAGCUUGUGUCGAGCGAUGAAGAUGUGACGACUGAUGAGGUUAAUACCCUCGGCCAUGGUGUGGAGGCACAUGACAAUGAAGCUUGGAAGAGCAAAAUGUUGGAGUGGGUUGAGGCAAUGUGGGAAAACAGGGGUAACAAAAGGAUCUGAUGAAGAAGCAACAACAGAACAAGAAGUGCAAUAUCACAAGAAGAAGAAGACGAGGAUGGACUUCCCCUAGUUCGGCAUGGAUAAACUUUCCCCUACCGAGCAUUUGACUAUUAAUUUGUACUGCAAUUUGUUAGUAUCAAGGAUGAACUGUCAUUUGUUUACUAGCUAGGACUAAAACAAUGUUUAUUUCGUAGUGCGUAUGUAGUGUAACGUGUGGUAAGGUCACCACUAAUGAGAAGGGUUGACCACAAUAUAGGUGAUGGCUCUAUGUUUUAUGCAUUUUGAGAGCUCAUUUGUUGCAUGUUCUUUUCAUAUAUCAUGUCCAUUAUGCAUGAUUACCGAUUUUCACCCUUUUCAUUAUGAUCAUUGCAUAAUUAGUGUUAUAUUUAGUUUUUACUAGUUUCCUUUGUUUUGUUGUGUCUAUAGGCGUUUUCGAGAAACCUAGAACCAAACACGUUGAAAAGGUCAAAGAUGGGUUCAAUGCAGAGGACUAGCAGCACCAGACUUAGGCGUUUGAAAGUGUCAAACUUUGAAAUUUUUUGAAGUCCUCAAAAUAAACAUCCAACUCCUCAUGUGCAUCGCCGUUGUCCAUACAAUUUCAUUGAGCCCAAGAAUAUCAAAUUCUGAGUUUGUAUGAAGAAAUGGCAGCCGUUAUGCUAAACAGAGGAAAAGACGUCGUUUGAUAUGAGCACGGCUGCUCGUACCGCCGCUCAUACCAUGGCCAGACAACACCGAAAGUUGUCUCUCUAAAUGGGAUUCUUCACCGAUUUUGACUCUGUCUGUUCUCCCAUGAUCCUUGGCCAAUAAGGAAUAGUUUUGGAGAGGGUUAGGCUCACCUCGAGCCCUUGGAUCAAAGGAGAACAUCUACAUCUAUGGAGGAGUCUUGAGGAGAGCCCUUAUAUAGCUCUCCAACCCUAGCCGCUGCCGACAUCCAUCAUUCAUCUGAUAACAAUCACAUCUCCAUUGCCGCUCCAAGACUACCUCCAUAGAGAGAAGAAGGGCCGAGACAAGAGGAAGAAGGGGAGGCACAUCCACCACAUGCACUGGCCUUCAGGCCAGUGCCAUCUCCACCGCCGACGUCGUCUCCAUCACCAUUGCUACCUCUAUGCUCCUCUCCUCCACCGGCUCCAUGCUGGCUUGUGACAUGCCUCUCCACUCUAUGUUCUUCCUGCAUAUGUGUUGAGUAGUUGUACUAGUUCUUGAGGAUUUGGAUGCACUUUUGCAUUAUUAACACUAUAAUGUUUAUAGGCAAUCCGAUCAUCCUCUUUAUUUGUUUUGAGUUAGUUUCCACAUGGUGUUGUGAAGAGCGCUCACUCAACAUUAGCCCCUUGUGGACUUGAGGGAACCAAUAUUGGUGUGAUGGUGGGAUGCGGAGGUCGUGGUGACAACGCUUAUCUCCCUACCUUCCCGAGUCACUACAAUAGGGAGUAACAAAGAACCCUAGAGAACUUUAUGUCGUGUUCAUGGGGAAACCCUUAAUCAUCUUUGUGGUAACCAAAGUGGGGAUGCAAAGGUGGUGGCAUGAAUGAUAUGUGACUGCCAAGGAUUUGCGUGUAUCUUUAUUUGGCUCCGCCCACGUGAGAUUUUAUCGAGUGGAGAAGUGAUACAGACAUAGAUAUAUGGUUCUGUAUGUGGUGAUGACUUUAGAUCCCUCAAGAACGCUUUACUACUCAAGGACCACUCCAUUUAGUUUAGUCUCCUUUCUACUUGUUGUUUUUACUUUCUUGUUCUUAGGUAAAACUCCCUUUUUAUUCUCCUUGCUAGAAACUGACUAUUCUAGACUAUUUCAAAACUCCAGUUUGGGUGCGUACGUAACUGUGUAAGUGACAAUGUAGUUGUGGGAUUUGUGGUGCCUUCUAGUUCCACGAUGGCUAUCCAACACAUCAUUGGAUAAAUAGCUUUAAUUUCAAUUUUUAGCUACUUGGAUCAGCGGUUAAUCCCCCGAAAUGAUGCAAACGCAAAACUAUUUUUGGUUUCACCUUAAAAAUCAACAUCUUCCCGUUGGAUCAAGACAUGUCUCUCGUGUGAAAUAGCAUGAUACGUCUCCAAUGUAUCUACUUUUCCAAACACUUUUGCCCUUGUUUUGGACUCUAACUUGCAUGAUUUGAAUGAAACUAACCCGGACUGACGUUGUUUUCAGUAGAACUACCAUGAUGUUGUUUUAUGUGUAGAAAAGAAAAGUUCUCGGAAUGUCCUGGAAAUCCACGGAGGCACUUUUCAGAUUUAAUAAGAAUUUUUGGCAAAAGAAUCAAGGUCAGGGGGCCCACGGGCUGUCCACGAGACAGGGGGGCGCCCCCCCUAGGGCACGCCCUCCUAUCUCGUGGGCCCCUCGGACCUCCUCCGACCUCAACUCCAACUCCAUAUAUACCGUCUAGGGGAGAAAAAAAUCAAGGAGAAAGUUUCAUCGCGUUUCACGACACGGAGCCGCCGCCAAACCCUAAUCUCUCUCGGGAGGGCUGAUCUGGAGUCCAUUCGGGGCUCCGAAGAGGGGGAUUCGUCGCUGUCGUCAUCAUCAACCAUCCUCCAUCACCAAUUUUAUGAUGCUCACCGCCGUGCGUGAGUAAUUCCAUCGUAGGCUUGCUGGACGGUGAUGGGUUGGAUGAGAUUUACCAUGUAAUAAAGUUAGUUUUGUUAGGGUUUGAUCCCUAGUAUCCACUAUGUUCUGAGAUUGAUGUUGCUAUGACUUUGCUAUGCUUAAUGCUUGUCACUAGGGCCCGAGUGCCAUGAUUUCAGAUCUGAACCUAUUAUGUUUUCAUGAAUAUAUGUGUGUUCUUGAUCCUAUAUUGCAAGUCUAUAGUCACCUAUUAUGUGUUAUGAUCCGACAACCCCGAAGUGACAAUAAUCGGGAUACUUCUCGGUGAUGACAGUAGUUUUUGAGGAGUUCAUGUAUUCACUAUGUGUUAAUGCUUUGGUCCGGUUCUCUAUUAAAAGGAGGCCUUAAUAUCCCUUAGUUUCCACUAGGACCCCGCUGCCACGGGAGGGUAGGACAAAAGAUGUCAUGCAAGUUCUUUUCCAUAAGCACGUGUGACUAUUUACGGAAUACAUGCCUACAUUACAUUGAUGAAUUGGAGCUAGUUCUAUAUCACCCUAUGUUAUAACUAGUGCACGAGGAAUCGCGUCCGGCAUAAUUAUCCAUCACUGAUCCAUUGCCUACGAGCUUUUCACAUAUUGUUCUUAGCUUAUUUACUUUUCCAUGCUACUGUUACAACUACUACAAAAACCCAAAAACAUUUACCUUUACUGUUGCUACUGUUACCAUUACUAUCAUACCACUUUUGCUACUAAAUACUUUGCUACAGAUACUAAGUUAUCCAGGUGUGGUUGAAUUGACAACUCAACUGCUAAUACUCAAGAAUAUUCUUUGGCUCCCCUUGUGUCGAAUCAAUAAAUUUGGGUUGUACUUCACCCUCGAAAGCUGUUGCGAUCCGCUACACUUGUGGGUUAUCAAGACUAAUUUUUGGCGCCGUUGCCGGGGAGCAAAGCUCUAUUCUCUGAGUCACUUGGGAUUUAUAUCUGUUGAUCACUAUGAAGAACUUGAAAGAAGCUAAGACCAAGAUCUAUCGCUCAACUACGAGGGGAGGUAAGGAACUGCCAUCUAGCACUGCACUGGAUUCUCCUUCCGUUAUUAGUAAGCUUGCGACACCUAAACCUGCUACUGCUAUGAAUUCUGAUAUGUCGCAUGUUAUUGAUGAUGCCACUUCUGCUAUGCAUGAUGAAACUACUUCUGUGCAUGAUACUACUUUGCCAUUAGGUGAAUUUUGUUGGAAAUAUGCCCUAGAGGCAAUAAUAAAUUAGUUAUUAUUAUAUUUCCUUGUUCAUGAUAAUAGUUUAUUAUCCAUGCUAUAAUUAUAUUGAAAGGAAACUUAGAUACAUGUGUGGGUACAUACACAACACCAUGUCCCUAGUAAGCCUCUAGUUGACUAGCUCGUUGAUCAAUAGAUGGUUACGAUUUCCUGACCAUGGACAUUGGAUGUCGUUGAUAACGGGAUCACAUCAUUAGGAGAAUGAUUUGAUGGACAAGACCCAAUCCUAAGCCUAGCACAAAGAUCGUGUGGUUCGUAUGCUAAAGCUUUUCUAAUGUCAAGUAUCAUUUCCUUAGACCAUGAGAUUGUGCAACUCCCGGAUACCGUAGGAAUGCUUUGGGUGUACCAAACGUCACAACGUAACUGGGUGGCUAUAAAGGUGCACUACAGGUAUCUCCGAAAGUGUAUGUUGGGUUGGCACGAAUCAAGACUGGGAUUUGUCACUCCGGUAAGCGAAGAGGUAUCUCUGGGCCCACUCGGUAGGACAUCAUCAUAAUGUGCACAAUGUGACCAAGGGGUUGAUCACGGGAUGAUGUGUUACGGAACGAGUAAAGAGCCUUGCCAGUAACGAGAUUGAACAAGGUAUCGGCAUACCGACGAUCGAAUCUCGGGCAAGUACAAUACCGUUAGACAAAGGGAAUUGUAUACGGGAUCGAUUGAGUCCUUGACAUCGUGGUUCAUCCGAUGAGAUCAUCGUGGAACAUGUGGGAGCCAACAUGGGUAUCCAGACCCCGCUGUUGGUUAUUGACAGGAGAACAUCUCGGUCAUGUCUGCAUGGCUCCCGAACUCGUAGGGUCUACACACUUAAGGUUCGAUGACGCUAGGGUUAUAAAGGAAGUUUGUAUGUGGUUACCGAAUGUUGUUCGGAGUCCCGGAUGAGAUCCUGGACGUCACAAGGUGUUCCAGAAUGGUCCGGAGAUAAAGAUUUAUAUAUGGAAAGUUGUUGUUCGGGUUCUGGGAAAAGUUUGGGUUUUUUUGGUAUUGUACCGGGAAGCUUCCAGAAGGUUCCGGAGGAUUCCGGAGGGGUCCGGAGGUCCGGAAAUUGUUCCACCACGUCCAAUACAGCAGCAUGGGCUGUAGGGGGGCGCCCUAGCCUUAAUGGGCCAGGGGCACCAGCCCCCCAAGGCCCAUGCGCAUGGGAGAGGGGAAACCCUAAGGGGGAGGGCCUCCACUUGACUUGGGAGGCACUCCUCCCCCCUUGGCCGCCGCCCCCAACCCUAGAUGAGAUCUAGGGGGGCCGGCCCCCUCUCCCCCACCUAUAAAUAGUGGAGGGGUGGCAGGGCAGCUGCACCCCAAGUUCCGGCGCAGCCCUCCCCCUCUCCCAUGUCCUCCUCCUCUGCCGCGGUGCUUGGCGAAGCCCUGCAGGAUUGCCACGCUCCUCCAUCACCACCACGCCGUUGUGCUGCUGCUGGAUGGAGUCUUCCUCAACCUCUCCCUUUCCCCUUGCUGGAUCAAGGCAUGGGAGACGUCACCGGGCUGUACGUGUGUUGAACGUGGAGGUGCCGUCCGUUCGGCACUAGGAUCAUCGGUGAUUUGGAUCACGACGAGUACGACUCCAUCAACCCCGUUCACUUGAACGCUUCCGCUUAGCGAUCUACAAGGGUAUGUAGAUGCACUCUCCUUCCCCUCAUUGCUAGUCUCUCCAUAGAUAGAUCUUGGUGACUCGUAGGAAUUUUUUUUUGAUUUCUGCUACGUUCCCCAACAGUGGUAUCAGAGCUAGGUCUAUUGCGUAGAUUCUAUGCACGAGUAGAACACAAAGUAGUUGUGGGCAUUGAUUUUGUUCAAUAUGCUUACCGUUUCUAGUCCAAUCUUGAUUCGGCGGCAUUGUGGGAUGAAGCAGCCCGAACCGAUCUUACACGUACUCUUACGUGAGACAGGUUCCACCGACUGACAUGCAUUGGUUGCAUAAGGUGGCUAGCGGGUGCCAGUCUCUCCCACUUUAGUCGGAUCGGAUUCGAUGAAAAGGGUCCUUAUGAAGGAUAAAUAGCAAUUGACAUAUCACGUUGUGGUUUUUGCGUAGGUAAGAAACGUUCUUGCUAGAAACCCAUAGCUGCCACGUAAAACAUGCAAACAACAAUUAGAGGACGUCUAACUUGUUUUUGCAGGGUAUGCUAUGUGAUGUGAUAUGGCCAAGAAGAAUGUGAUGAAUGAUAUGUGAUGUAUGAGAUUGAUCAUGUUCUUGUAAUAGGAAUCACGACUUGCAUGUCGAUGAGUAUGACAACCGGCAGGAGCCAUAGGAGUUGUCUUUAUUUUUUGUAUGACCUCCGUGUCAUUGAACAAUGCCAUGUAAUUACUUUACUUUAUUGCUAAGCCGUUAGCCAUAGUAGUAGAAGUAAUAGUUGGCAAGACAACUUCAUGGAGACACGAUGAUGGAGAUCAUGAUGAUGGAGAUCAUGGUGUCAUGCCGGUGACGAUGAUGAUCAUGGAGCCCGAAGAUGGAGAUCAAAAGGAGCGAAAUGAUAUUGGCCAUAUCAUGUCAGUAUUUGAUUGCAUGUGAUGUUUAUCAUGUUUAUGCAUCUUAUUUGCUUAGAACGACGGUAGUAAAUAAGAUGAUCCCUCAUUAAAAUUUCAAGAAAGUGUUCCCCCUAACUAUGCACCGUUGCGAAAGUUCGUCGUUUCGAAGCACCACGUGAUGAUCGGGUGUGAUAGAUUCUUACGUUCACAUACAACGGGUGUAAGCCAGAUUUACACACGCGAAACACUUAUAGGUUGACUUGAUGAUCCUAGCAUGUACAGACAUGGCCUCGGAACACAAGAGACCGAAAGGUCGAGCAUGAGUCGUAUGAUGGAUACGAUCAACAUGAAGAUGUUCACCGAUGAUGACUAGUCCGUCUCACGUGAUGAUCGGACACGACCUAGUUGACUCGGAUCAUGUAAUCACUUAGAUGACUAGAGGGAUGUCUAUCUGAGUGGGAGUUCAUAAGAUGAACUUAAUUAUCCUGAACAUAGUCAAAAGAUCUUUGCAAAUUAUGUCGUAAGCUCGCGCUUUAGUUCCACUGUUUAGAUAUGUUCCUAGAGAAAAUAUAGUUGAAAGUUGACAGUAGCGAUUAUGCGGACAGUAGCAAGCUUAUGUCCUUAAUGCACCGCUCAGUGUGCUAAACCCCAAACAUCGUUUGUGGAUGUUGCGAACAUCAGACAUACACGUUUAGAUAACUACGUGAUAGUUCAGUCAAACGGUUUAGAGUUGAGGCACCAAAGACGUUUUUGAAACUUCGCGGAACAUAUGAGAUGUUUCGAGGGCUGAAAUUGGGAUUUCAGGCUCGUGCCCACGUCAAGAGGUAUGAGACCUCCGACGAUUUUCUUAGCCUGCAAACUAAAGGAGAAAAGCUCAAUCGUUGAGCUUGUGCUCAGAUUGUCUGAGUGCGACAAUCACUUGAAUCGAGUGGGAGUUGAUCUUCCAGAUGAGAUAGUGAUGUUUCUCCAAAGUCAUUGCCACCAAGCUGCUAGAGCUUCGUGAUGAACUAUAACAUAUCAGGGAUAGAUACGAUGAUCCUUGAGGUAUUCGCGAUGUUUGACACCGCGAAAGUAGAAGUCAAGUAGGAGCAUCAAUUGUUGAUGGUUAGUAAAAACCACUAGUUUUCAAAAGGGGCAAGGGCAAGAAGGGAUACUUCAUGAAACGGCAAAUCAGCUGCUGCUCUAGUGAAGAAACCCAAGGUUUAACCCAAACCCGAGACUAAGUGCUUCUGUAAUAAGGGGAACAACCACUGGAGCAGAAUCACCCUAGAUACUUGGUAGAUGAGAAGGCUGGCAAGAUCGAUAGAAGUAUAUUGGAUAUACAUUAUGUUAAUGUGUACUUUACCAGUACUCCUAGUAGCACCAGGGUAUUAAGAUACCAGUUCGGUUGCUAAGUGUUAGUAACUCGAAAUAAAAGAGCUACGGAAUAAACUGAGACUAGCUAAAGGUGAGCUAACGAUAUGUGUUGGAAGUGUUUCCAAGUUUGAUGUAAUCAAACAUCGCACGCUCCCUCUACCAUCAAGAUUAGUAUUAAACCUGAAUAAUUGUCAUUUGGUGUUUGCGUUGAGCAUAGACAUGAUUGGAUUAUGUCUAUCGCAAUACGAUUAUUCAUUUAAGGAGAAUAAUGGUUACUCUAUUUAUUUGAAUAAUACCUUCAAUGGUCUUGCACCUAAAGGAAUGGUUUAUUGAAUCUCGAUCGUAGUGAUACACAUUUUCAUGCCAAAAGAUAUAAGAUAGUAAUGAUAGUACCACUUACUUGUGGCACUGCCAUGUAAGUCAUAUUGGUAUAAAACGCAUGAAGAAGCUCCAUGUUGAUGGAUCUUUGGACUAACUCUUUUUUGAAAAGUUUGAGACAUGCGAACCAUGUCUGUUGGUGUAUACGCAUGAAGAAACUCCAUGCAGAUGGAUCGUUUGGACUCAGUUGAUUUUGAAUCACUUGAGAUAUGCAAAUCAUACCACAUGGGCAAGAUCACUGAAAAGCCUCGUUUUUAGUAAGAUGGAACAAGAUAGCAACUUGUUGGAAGUAACACAUUUUGAUGUGUGCAGUCCAAUGAGUGCUGAGGAUGCAGUGAAUAUCGUCAUGUUCUUACUUCACAGAUGAUUCAAGUAGAUGUUGAGUAUAUUUACUUGAUGAAACACAAGUCUGAAUUAUUGAAUGGUUCAAGUAAUUUCAGAGUGAAGUUGAAGAUCAUUGUGACAAGAGGAUAAAAUGCCUAUGAUAUGAUCAUAGAGAUGAGUAUCUGAGUUACAAGCUUUGGCACGCAAUUAAGACAUUGUGGAAAUUGUUUCACAAUUAAUACCGCCUGGAACACCAUAGUGUGAUGGUGUGUCCGAACAUCAUAGUUGCACCCUAUUGGAUAUGGUGCGUACCAUGAUGUCUCUUAUCGAAUUACCACUAUAGUUCAUGGGUUAGGCAUUAGAGACAACCGCACUCACUUUAAUAGGGCACCACGUAACUCCGUUGAGACGACACCAUAUGAACUAUGAUUUGGAGAAACCUAAGCUGUCGUUUCUUGAAAGUUUGGGGCUGCGGCACUUAUGUGAAAAAGUUUCAGGCUGAUAAACUCGAACCCAAAACGGAUAAAUGCAUCUUCAUAGGAUACCCAAAAUGGUUGGGUAUACCUCCUAAUUCAGAUCCGGAAGCAAAAGUGAUUGUUUCUAGAAACGGGUCCUUUCUCGAGGAAAAGUUUCUCUCGAAAGAAUUGAGUGGGAGGAUGGUGGAGACUUGAUGAGGUUAUUGAACUGUCACUUCAACCAGUGUGUAGCAGGGCACAGGAAGUUGUUCCUGUGGCACCUACACCAAUUGAAGUGGAAGCUUAUGAUAGUGAUCAUGAAGCUUCGGAUCAAGUCACUACCGAACCUCGUAGGACGACAAGGACGCAUACUGCUUCGGAGUGGUACGGUGAUCCUGUCUUGAAGAUCAUGUUACUAGACAACAAUGAACCUACGUGCUAUGGUGGGCCCAAAUUCCAACAAAUGGUUAGAAGCCAUGAAAUCCGAGAUAGGAUCCAUGUAUCAGACCAAAGCAUGGACUUUGGUGGACUUGCCCGAUGAUCGGCAAGCCAUUGAGAUAAAUGGAUCUUUAAGAAGAAGACGGGCGUGGACGGUAAUGUCACUGUCUAUGAAGCUCGACUUGUGGCGAAGAGUUUUCACAAGUUCAAGGAAGUUGACUACGAUGAGAUUUUCUCAUCCGUAGCGAUGUUUAAGUACGUCGGAAUCAUGUUAGCAUUAGCUGCAUUUAUGAAAUUUGGCAGAUGGAUGUCAAAACUAGUUUCCUUACCAGUUUUCGUAAGGAAAGGUUGUAUGCGAUACAAUCAGAAAGGUUUUGUCGAUCCUAAGGAUGCUAAAAGGUAUGCUAGCUCCAGCGAUCCUUCCAUGGACUGGAGUAAGCAUCUCGGAGUUGGAAUAUGCACUUUGAUAAGAUGAUCAAAGAUUUUGGGUUUAUACAAAGUUUAUGAGAAACUUGUAUUUCCAAAGAAGUGAGUGGGAGCACUAUAGAAUUUCUGAUGAGUAUAUGUUGUUGAUCAGAAAUGAUGUAGAAUUUCUGGAAAGCAUAUAGGGCUAUUUGAAAAGUGUUUUUCAAGGGAAAACCUGGAUUAAGCUACUUGAACAUUGAGCAUCAAGAUCUAUGAGGAUGGAUCAAAAAUGCUUAAUGGUACUUUCAAAUGAGCACGUACCUUGACAUGAUCUUGAAGGUGUUCAAGAUGGAUCAGUCAAAGAAGGAGUUCUUGCCUGAGUUGUAAGGAACGAAGUUAAGACUUAAAGCUCGACCACGGCAGAAAAUAGAGAGAAAGGACGAAUGUCGUCCCCUAUGCUUUAGACGUAGGCUCUACAGUAUGCUAUGCUAAGUACCGCACCUGAUGUGUGCCUUGCUACAUACCUGACAAGAGGGUACAAAGGUGAUCAAGGAGUAGAUCACCAGAUAGUGGUCAAAAUUGUCCUUGGAGUAAUAAGGACAUGUUUCUCGAUUAUGGAAGUGAUAAAGAGUUCGACGUAAAGAGUUGCGUCGAUGCAAGCUUAACACCUAUCCGGAUAGCUCUGAGUAGAGAAGCCGGAUACGUAUAGUGGAACAACCAUUUGGAAUAGCUCCAGGUAGAGCGUGGAAGCAACAUUUACAAUAUGACCUAGAGAUUUGUGAAGUACAUAUGGGUCUGAAUGUUGCAGACCCGUUGACUAAAACCUCUCUCACAAGCAAAACAUGAUCAAACCCUAGAACUCAUUGAGUCUUAAUCACAUGAUGAUGUGAACUAGUUUAAUGACACUAGUAAACUCUUUGGAUGUUGGUCACAUGGCGAUGUGACCUGUGAGUGUUAAUCACAUGGCGAUGUGAACUAGAUUAUUGACUCUAGUGCAAGUGGGAGACUGUUGGAAAUAUGCCCUAGAGGCAAUAAUAAAUUAGUUAUUAUUAUAUUUCCUUGUUCAUGAUAAUCGUUUAUUAUCCAUGCUAUAAUUGUAUUGAAAGGAAACUCAGAUACAUGUGUGGGUACAUACACAACACCAUGUCCCUAGUAAGCCUCUAGUUGACUAGCUCGUUGAUCAAUAGAUGGUUACGGUUUCCUGACCAUGGACAUUGGACGUCGUUGAUAAUGGGAUCAUAUCAUUAGGAGAAUGAUUUGAUGGACAAGACCCAAUCCUAAGCCUAGCACAAAGAUCGUGUGGUUCGUAUGCUAAAGCUUUUCUAAUGUCAAGUAUCAUUUCCUUAGACCAUGAGAUUGUGCAACUCCCGGAUACCAUAGGAAUGCUUUGGGUGUACCAAACGUCACAACGUAACUGGGUGGCUAUAAAGGUGCACUAUAGGUAUCUCCAAAAGUGUAUGUUGGGUUGGCACGAAUCAAGACUGGGAUUUGUCACUCCGGUAAACGGAGAGGUAUCUCUGGGCCCACUCGGUAGGACAUCAUCAUAAUGUGCACAAUGUGACCAAGGGGUUGAUCACGGGAUGAUGUGUUACGGAACGAGUAAAGAGCCUUGCCAGUAACGAGAUUGAACAAGGUAUCGGCAUACCGACGAUCGAAUCUCGGGCAAGUACAAUACCGUUAGACAAAGGGAAUUGUAUACGGGAUCGAUUGAGUCCUUGACAUCGUGGUUCAUCCGAUGAGAUCAUCGUGGAACAUGUGGGAGCCAACAUGGGUAUCCAGAUCCCGCUGUUGGUUAUUGACAGGAGAACGUCUCGAUCAUGUGUGCAUGGCUCCCGAACUCGUAGGGUCUACACACUUAAGGUUCGAUGACGCUAGGGUUAUAAAGGAAGUUUGUAUGUGGUUACCGAAUGUUGUUUGGAGUCCCGGAUGAGAUCCCGGACAUCACGAGGAGUUCCGGAAUGGUCCGGAGAUAAAGAUUUAUAUAUGGAAAGUUGUUGUUCGGGUUCCGGGAAAAGUUCGGGUUUUUUCGGUAUUGUACCGGGAAGCUUCCAGAAGGUUCCGGAGGAUUCCGGAGGGGUCCGGAGGUCCGGAAAUUGUUCCACCACGUCCAAUACAGCAGCAUGGGCUUUAGGGGGGGCGCCCUAGCCUUAAUGGGCCAGGGGCACCAGCCCCCCAAGGCCCAUGCGCAUGGGAGAGGGGAAACCUAAGGGGGAGGGCCUCCACUUUGACUUGGGAGGCACUCCUCCCACCUUGGCCGCCGCCCCCAACCCUAGAUGAGAUCUAGGGGGCCCGGCCCCCUCUCCCCCCACCUAUAAAUAGUGGAGGGGUGGGAGGGCAGCUGCACCCCAAGUUCUGGCGCAGCCCUCCCCCUCUCCCAUGUCCUCCUCCUCUCCCGCGGUGCUUGGCGAAGCCCUGCAGGAUUGCCACGCUCCUCCAUCACCACCACGUCGUUGUGCUACUGCUGGAUGAAGUCUUCCUCAACCUCUCCCUCUCCCCUUGCUGGAUCAAGGCAUGGGAGACGUCACCGGGCUGUACGUGUGUUGAACGCGGAGGUGCCGUCCGUUCGGCACUAGGAUCAUCGGUGAUUUGGAUCACGACGAGUACGACUCCAUCAACCCCGUUCACUUGAACGCUUCCUCUUAGAAAUCUACAAGGGUAUGUAGAUGCACUCUCCUUCCCCUUGUUGCUAGUCUCUCCAUAGAUAGAUCUUGGUGACUCGUAGGAAAUUUUUUUGAUUUCUGCUACGUUCCCCAACAAAUUUCUAGAUGAACAACUUGCUAGAGUUAGGGGGAAUGAAAAUAUUGAAGAUGCUAUUGAUGAUAGUGAUGAUGAACGUUCCCCCAAUGAUUAUGUAUUGCCUGUUGUUCCUAAGGGUUAUGCUAUGAAUGAAAAAGGUGUUAUGGAAAUUCUUGCUUGCAAUGAUAGAUCUGAUCUUAAGAAAUUAUUAGCUAAAUGGAAGCAGCAGUCUCUUAAUGCUAGAAUGAAACCCGAUCCUGCUUUUGCUACUUCACCUAUCUGUGUUACUGAUAAGGAUUAUGAAUUCUCUGUUGAUCCUGAUAUUAUUACUUUAGUUGAAUCUGAUCCUUUUUAUGGCCUUGAAUCUGAAACUGUUGUGGCACAUCUUAGCAAGUUGAAUGAUAUAGCCACCCUAUUUACUCAUGAUGAGAAGUCUCGCUAUUUAUAUAUCCUUAAGAUAUUUCCGUUCUCAUUAAACGGUGAUGGUAAGACUUGGUAUAAUUCUCUUGCUCCUGGUUGUGUGCGUAGUCCCCAGGAUAUGAUUUAUUACUUCUCUGCUAAAUAUUUCCCUGCUCAUAAGAAACAAGCUGCCUUGCGGGAAAUAUAUAAUUUUGUGCAAAUCAAAGAAGAGAGUCUCCCACAAGCUUGGGGGGGGGCUUCUCCGGUUACUUAAUGCUUUGCCUGAUCAUCCUCUUAAGAAAAAUGAAAUACAUGAUAUCUUUUAUAAUGGACUAACCGAUGCUUCCAAGGACUACUUGGAUAGUUGUGCUGGUUGUGUUUUCAGGGAAAGAAUAGUCGACGAAGCUGAAAUACUAUUAAAUAUUAUGUUGACUAAUGAAAAUAAUGGACUCUUGCCGAGCCAGUUCCUGAAGUAAUUCCUGAACCAAUUGAGCUAACUUCUGAGCCUAUUCCUAAACCUACUCCGAAGAAGAGAGGUGUUUUAUUUCUCAGUCCUGAAAAUAUGCGAGAGGCAAAGAAAUCAGUGAAAGAAAAAGGUAUUAAAGCUGAAGAUAUUAAGAGUUUACCUCCUAUUGAAGAAAUACAUGGUCUUAAUUUACCGCCUGAAGAACCACAUUGUCUUGAUAACCCGACACAGGUAGUGAAGGUAAAUUCUCUCUAUAGAUACGAUAAAGUUGAAAUACCCUCUACUAACUUUCAUAGCCCAUGCUUAGACGAAUUUGAUGACUUUAUGGCUAGACAAUAAAGUUUUAACGCUUAUGUUGGCAGAGAGUUAAAGAAUAAUGCUUUCGAGAUAGGUCGCGUAGGUGAUAAUCUGGCUAGAGUUAAAGAUGAACUUCACCGCGUUAGCAAAUAUGCUUCUAUGGUUGCUACUCAAGCCGAGAAAUUACUCAAAGCUCAAAAUGAUUUGCUUGAUGAAUUGAAUAAUAAAAAUGACUUUGCUGUUAGAGUGGCUACUAGAACUGGUAGAAUGACUCAAGAACCUUUGUAUCCUGAAGGCCACCCUAAGAGAAUUGAGCAAGAUUCUCAGAGAAAUAAUUUAGAGGCACCUAAUUCUUCUAAGAAGAAGAAAAAGAAAGACGAUAGAACGUUGCAUGCUUCUAGUCAACCUACUGUGGACACACCUGAGAAUCCCGAUGAUAUUUCUAUUUCUGAUGUUGAAACACAAUCAGGUGAUGAACAUGAACCUAGUGAUAAUGUUAAUGAUAAUGUUCAUGUUUAUGCUCAACCUAGCAAAGACAACGAUGUAGAGAUUGAACCUGCUGUUGAGCUUGAUAACCCACAAUCAAAGAAUCAACGUUAUGAUAAGAGAGAUUUUAUUGCUAGGAAGCACGGUAAAGAAAGAGAACCAUGGGUUCAGAAACCCAUGCCCUUUCCUCCUAAACCAUCCAAGUCAAAGGAUGAUGAGGAUUUUGAGCGCUUUGCUGAAAUGAUUAGCCCUAUUUUCUUACAUAUGCGCUUAACUGAUAUGCUUAAAGUAAAUCCUUAUGCUAAAUAUAUGAAGGAUAUCAUCACAAAUAAAAGAAAGAUACCGGAAGCUGAAAUUUCCACCAUGCUUGCUAAUUACACUUUUAAGGGUGGAAUACCAAAUAAACUUGGAGAUCCGGGUGUUCCAACUAUACCAUGCUCCAUUAAAAGAAAUUAUGUUAGAACUGCUUUAUGUGAUCUUGGAGCCAGUGUUAGUGUUAUGCCUCUCUCUUUAUAUCGUAGACUUGAAUUGAAUAAGUUGACACCUACUGAAAUAUCUUUGCAAAUGGCUGAUAAAUCAACCGCUAUACCUGUUGGUAUUUGUGAGGAUGUGCCUGUUGUGGUUACAAAUGUCACUAUCUUAACGGAGUUUGUUAUUCUUGAUAUUCCCGAGGACGAUAGAAUGUCUAUUAUCCUUGGUAGACCUUUUAUUAAUACUGCAGGGGCUGUUAUUGAUUGCAACAAAGGCAAUGUCACUUUUCAUGUUAAUGGUAAUGAGCAUACGGUACACUUUCCGAGGAAACAAUCACAAGUUCAUAGUAUCAAUUCUAUUGAAAAAGUUCCAACUAUCAUUUUUGGAGGUUUUGAAUUUCCUCUCCCUACUGUCAAGAAAAAGUAUGAUAUUCUUAUUGUUGGGGAUUUCCAUAUCCCCGUUGAGGUAACUUAGUGUUAUUCGAAAUUUCUCCGGUUCCGUGUUAUUCGGAAUGAGUUUGUUAACAAGACUUGAUCAACCUUGUUAGUGGAUUCAUUUUGAUGAUCACGAGAUGGAUGAAACUAGAAGGCACAACCUUCUACACCCUCUUUUUACUUUCUGUUAUUUAGAAUAAAUAAAGCAAAAAUAGUAUUAUCUGUUUGUUUUCUGAAUUAUCCGUGCAAUAAAAAAUAGUCCGAAAAUAAAAGUGUUCCAAAUGCCCUACAAAUUUAGUAUGAUUUUUUCUGGAAUAUUUGAGGAUUUUAGGCACUGAAAACACUGCAGGAGGGCCCCUGGUGGCUCCCCUCCACUUAUGCCAGCACCCACACACUUCAUCUUUUACCCAAAAAUAAUCCCCAUCCAGCUCAAGCACGAGUUCUAGCUUGUUUUGCUGCGAUUUUCGAUCUUUUAGCUCAAAGCUCCUUUCGCAAAACUGCUUUGGGAGAUUGUUGCUUGGUAUGUGACUCCUCCGUUGGUCCAAUUAGUUUUUGUUCUAGUGCUUUAUUCAUUGCAAAUUUUUGCUGCAUAGGUGACGAUGUUCUUGAGCUUGCAUGUUAAAUUUUUGAGGUCUCAAGCAAUUCCAAUGCAUGAUAUAGGCUCUAGGCACUUGUAGGAGUAGUUGCUAUCAAUCUUGUUUAGUUUUAUCCGCUUUUAUUUUGAAGUUACUAAAAUUUCAGAAAUUUUCAGAAAAUGUUAAGGAGGUUAUUUAAAGGCUCUUCUAGCCAAAGCUCUAAGGAAAAACAAGACAAAGAGAAGGAAAAACCCAAGUAUAAUCUUCCUCGCCUAGCGGAAGUACGGUCAUGUGAAUGACCAUGUGAGGAUUUCUUGAAGGAAGCCGGAAUUCAUGAAGACUUUUAUGCUUUAAUCGGGACUGCAUGCCUCACCGGUUUCAUGAACGACCGAAUCGAUCAGUAUCUCUUACUUACCAAUACUUUCAUGCAAAACUUUUAUUAUUAUCCUAAGAAGUCACCGCCUGCUGUAUCAUUUCAUUUAUAUGAUGAAUUCAAAGAACUGUCUUUACGUCAUUUUUGCGCGGUAUGUAGGAUACCUUAUGAGGGAG